rnacentral:rRNA from 1 species
UGCAGUCGAGCGGCAGCGGGAAAGUAGCUUGCUACUUUUGCCGGCGAGCGGCGGACGGGUGAGUAAUGCCUGGGGAUCUGCCCAGUCGAGGGGGAUAACAGUUGGAAACGACUGCUAAUACCGCAUACGCCCUACGGGGGAAAGGAGGGGACCUUCGGGCCUUUCGCGAUUGGAUGAACCCAGGUGGGAUUAGCUAGUUGGUGGGGUAAUGGCUCACCAAGGCGACGAUCCCUAGCUGGUCUGAGAGGAUGAUCAGCCACACUGGAACUGAGACACGGUCCAGACUCCUACGGGAGGCAGCAGUGGGGAAUAUUGCACAAUGGGGGAAACCCUGAUGCAGCCAUGCCGCGUGUGUGAAGAAGGCCUUCGGGUUGUAAAGCACUUUCAGCGAGGAGGAAAGGUUGGUCGCUAAUAACGGCCAACUGUGACGUUACUCGCAGAAGAAGCACCGGCUAACUCCGUGCCAGCAGCCGCGGUAAUAC